GACCAUAGCAUAGCUGCUAGAGUGUGAGACUCUUAAUCUCAUGGUUGUGGGUUCGAGCCCCAUGUUGGUCA